rnacentral:rRNA from 1 species
UACGUAGGGUCCGAGCGUUGUCCGGAAUUACUGGGCGUAAAGAGCUCGUAGGUGGUUUGUCGCGUUGUUCGUGAAAACUCACAGCUCAACUGUGGGCGUGCGGGCGAUACGGGCAGACUGGAGUACUGCAGGGGAGACUGGAAUUCCUGGUGUAGCGGUGAAAUGCGCAGAUAUCAGGAGGAACACCGGUGGCGAAGGCGGGUCUCUGGGCAAUAACUGACGCUGAGGAGCGAAAGCGUGGGGAGCGAACAGG